rnacentral:rRNA from 1 species
UACGGAAGGUGCAAGCGUUGUUCGGAAUCAUUGGGCGUAAAGGGCGCGUAGGUGGUUCUGUAUGUCUGCCGUGAAAGCGUACGGCUCAACCGUAUUUAGUCGGUAGAAACUGCAGGACUUGAGGCUGGGAGGGGCUGGUGGAAUUCCCUGUGUAGCGGUGAAAUGCGUAGAGAUGGGGGAGAACACUCGUGGCGAAGGCAGGUCUCUGGGCUGACACUGACGCUCAUGCACGAAAGCGUGGGGAGCAAACAGG